CUACGGGGUGCUCCAGUGGGGAAUAUUGCGCAAUGGAGGAAACUCUGACGCAGCCAUGCCGCGUGAGUGAAGAAGGCCCUAGGGUUGUAAAACUCUUUCAGUCGUGAAGAUGAUGACGGUAACGACAGAAGAAGCACCGGCUAACUCCGUGCCAGCAGCCGCGGUAAUACGGAGGGUGCUAGCGUUGUUCGGAUUUACUGGGCGUAAAGGGCGCGUAGGCGGAUAAAUCAGUCAGAGGUGAAAGCCCCGGGCUUAACCUGGGAACUGCCUUUGAUACUGUUUAUCUAGAGUACGAGAGAGGGUGGUGGAACUCCAAGUGUAGAGGUGAAAUUCGUAGAUAUUUGGAAGAACACCAGUGGCGAAGGCGGCCACCUGGCUCGGUACUGACGCUGAGGCGCGAAAGCGUGGGGAGCAAACAGGAUUAGAUACCCGUGUAGUC
rnacentral:rRNA from 1 species